rnacentral:rRNA from 1 species
CGGCGAGUGAGCGGCAAAGCUCAAAUUUGAAAUCUGGCACCUUCGGUGUCCGAGUUGUAAUUUGAAGAAGGUAACUUUGGAGUUGGCUCUUGUCUAUGUUCCUUGGAACAGGACGUCACAGAGGGUGAGAAUCCCGUGCGAUGAGAUGCCCAAUUCUAUGUAAAGUGCUUUCGAAGAGUCGAGUUGUUUGGGAAUGCAGCUCUAAGUGGGUGGUAAAUUCCAUCUAAAGCUAAAUAUUGGCGAGAGACCGAUAGCGAACAAGUACAGUGAUGGAAAGAUGAAAAGAACUUUGAAAAGAGAGUGAAAAAGUACGUGAAAUUGUUGAAAGGGAAGGGCUUGAGAUCAGACUUGGUAUUUUGCAAGCCUUACCUUCGUGGUGGGGUCCCCUGCAGUUUACUGGGCCAGCAUCGGUUUGGAUGGUAGGAUAAUGACUUGGGAAUGUGACUUUGCUUCGGUAAAGUGUUAUAGCCCUUGUUGAUACUGCCUGUCUAGACCGAGGACUGCGUCUUUGACUAGGAUGCUGGCAUAAUGAUCUUAAGUCGCCCGUCUUGA